rnacentral:rRNA from 1 species
GACGAACGCUGGCGGCGUGCUUAACACAUGCAAGUCGAGCGGUAAGGCCCCUUUGGGGGUACACGAGCGGCGAACGGGUGAGUAACACGUGGGUGACCUGCCCUCAGCUCUGGGAUAAGCCUGGGAAACUGGGUCUAAUACCGGAUAUGACUCCAUGACGCAUGUUGUGGGGUGGAAAGCCUUGUGCGGCUGGGGAUGGGCCCGCGGCCUAUCAGCCUGUUGGUGGGGUGAUGGCCUACCAAGGCGACGACGGGUAGCCGGCCUGAGAGGGCGACCGGCCACACUGGGACUGAGACACGGCCCAGACUCCUACGGGAGGCAGCAGUGGGGAAUCUUGCGCAAUGGGCGAGAGCCUGACGCAGCGACGCCGCGUGAGGGAGUGACGGCCGUC